AUUGAACGCUGGCGGCAGGCCUAACACAUGCAAGUCGAACGGUAGCACAGAGAACUUGCUCUCGGGUGACGAGUGGCGGACGGGUGAGUAAUGUCUGAGAAACUGCCCGAUGGAGGGGGAUAACUACUGGAAACGGUAGCUAAUACCGCAUAACGUCGCAAGACCAAAGUGGGGGACCUUCGGGCCUCACACCAUCGGAUGUGCCCAGAUGGGAUUAGCCAGUAGGUGGGAUAAUGGCUCACCUAGGCGACGAUCCCUAGCUGGUCUGAGAGGAUGACCAGCCACACUGGAACUGAGACACGGUCCAGACUCCUACGGGAGGCAGCAGUGGGGAAUAUUGCACAAUGGGCGCAAGCCUGAUGCAGCCAUGCCGCGUGUAUGAAGAAGGCCUUCGGGUUGUAAAGUACUUUCAGCGGGGAGGAAGGCGGUGAAGUUAAUAGCUUCACCGAUUGACGUUACCCGCAGAAGAAGCACCGGCUAACUCCGCGCCAGCAGCCGCCGUAA
rnacentral:rRNA from 1 species